rnacentral:rRNA from 1 species
UUGGUGGGGUAAAGGCUCACCAAGGCAACGAUCCGUAGCUGGUUUGAGAGGACGACCAGCCACACUGGGACUGAGACACGGCCCAGACUCCUACGGGAGGCAGCAGUGGGGAAUUUUGGACAAUGGGGGAAACCCUGAUCCAGCCAUCCCGCGUGUAUGAUGAAGGCCUUCGGGUUGUAAAGUACUUUUGGCAGAGAAGAAAAGGCAUCCCCUAAUACGGGAUGCUGCUGACGGUAUCUGCAGAAUAAGCACCGGCUAACUACGUGCCAGCAGCCGCGGUAAUACGUAGGGUGCAAGCGUUAAUCGGAAUUACUGGGCGUAAAGCGUGUGUAGGCGGUUCGGAAAGAAAGAUGUGAAAUCCCAGGGCUCAACCUUGGAACUGCAUUUUUAACUGCCGAGCCAGAGUAUGUCAGAGGGGGGUAGAAUUCCACGUGUAGCAGUGAAAUGCGUAGAUAUGUGGAGGAAUACCGAUGGCGAAGGCAGCCCCCUGGGAUAAUACUGACGCUCAGACACGAAAGCGUGGGGAGCAAAAAGGAUUAGAUGCCCUGGUAGUCCACGCCCUAAACGAUGUCAACUAGCUGUUGGGGCCGUUAGGCCUUAGUAGCGCAGCUAACGCGUGAAGUUGACCGCCUGGGGAGUACGGUCGCAAGAUUAAAACUCAAAGGAAUUGACGGGGACCCGCACAAGCGGUGGAUGAUGUGGAUUAAUUCGAUGCAACGCGAAAAACCUUACCUACCCUUGACAUGUCUGGAAUGCCGAAGAGAUUUGGCAGUGCUCGCAAGAGAACCGGAACACAGGUGCUGCAUGGCUGUCGUCAGCUCGUGUCGUGAGAUGUUGGGUUAAGUCCCGCAACGAGCGCAACCCUUGUCAUUAGUUGCUACGCAAGAGCACUCUAAUGAGACUGCCGGUGACAAACCGGAGGAAGGUGGGGAUGACGUCAAGUCCUCAUGGCCCUUAUGGGUAGGGCUUCACACGUCAUACAAUGGUCGGGACAGAGGGUCGCCAACCCGCGAGGGGGAGCCAAUCUCAGAAACCCGAUCGUAGUCCGGAUCGCAGUCUGCAACUCGACUGCGUGAAGUCGGAAUCGCUAGUAAUCGCGGAUCAGAAUGUCGCGGUGAAU